rnacentral:rRNA from 1 species
UAAUUCUAGAGCUAAUACAUGCACCAAAGCUCUGACCUUACGGAAAGAGUGCAUUUAUUAGAGCAAAACCAAGCGGCCUCGGUCGUUGAUUGCUGACUCAGAAUAACUUAGCUGAUCGCACGGUCUUUGAACCGGCGACGUGUCUUUUGAGUAUCUGCCUUAUCAAUUUUCGAUGGUAGUGUAUCUGACUACCAUGGUGUUGACGGGUAACGGAGAAUAAGGGUUCGACUCCGGAGAAGGGGCCUGAGAAAUGGCCACUACGUCUAAGGAUGGCAGCAGGCGCGCAAAUUACCCACUCUCGGAAUGAGGAGGUAGUGACGAGAAAUAACGAGACCGUUCUCUAUGAGGCCGGUUAUCGGAAUGGGUACAAUCUAAACCCUUUAACGAGUAUCUAUGAGAGGGCAAGUCUGGUGCCAGCAGCCGCGGUAAUUCCAGCUCUCAAAAUGCAUAGAACCAUUGCUGCGGUUAAAAAGCUCGUAGUUGAAUUUAUGCCUGAGGCCUGGUCUACCCUCUGGGUGUGUACUAGGUUCUUAGGCUUUUCGUCGGUUUUCUUGUUGUGGCCUUUAUUGGUGGCGGCAAGUGGCUGGCAAUUUUACUUUGAACAAAUCAGAGUGCUCAAAACAGGCGUUUUGCUUGUAUGCUUUUGCAUGGAAUAAUAGAAUAUGACUUCGGUCUAGUUUUAUUGGUUUUAUAGAUCGUUGUAAUGAUUAAAAGAGACAAACGGGGGCAUUC